rnacentral:tRNA from 1 species
GACCUUGUGGUGCAACGGUAGCGCGUCUGAUACCAGACCAAAAGGUUGUGUGUUCAAGUCACAUCAAGGUCA